UGGAGGUGAUGAACUGUCUUGGCCUGAACUUAAGAUGGAGGCAAGAAAACUGAUUUAAUGAGCCUGAUCC
ensembl:snoRNA Snord57 small nucleolar RNA SNORD57